CCUCCAACUGUUCCUUAACUUUUUGAGAAAUCUUUAAAAUGUAAAAUGGCAUUCUAUUUUGCCUUUUUCCCUCUCCAUCUGAUGGUCACAAGAACUUGAAACCAUAAGUUGAAAUUGGUCACUGUGCAUGGAUAUUAGAGGAAAAGUCGUCACUCCCCCUCAUUGUGAUUUAGCAAUGCGGUGUUGUCUCGCGCUUUCUUUGUCAUCCUUUUCACUGCUUCAGCCUUAAAUUUUCUUUUCUUCUUAGCCCUCCUCCUCUUCCUCUCUGCCUGAGUAACUUCUGCUUCUUCUUUAAUGUCCCCUUUGCCAGAGAAGACUUCCUCGGGAGCCAGCAUGGCUGCAUCUGAAACUGCUGUCGGUG
rnacentral:misc_RNA from 1 species